rnacentral:sRNA from 1 species
GUUUUGUCUUUAUCUU